UACGAAGGGAGCUAGCGUUGUUCGGAAUUACUGGGCGUAAAGGGCGCGUAGGCGGCCUGCUAAGUCGGACGUGAAAUCCCUCGGCUCAACCGGGGAACUGCAUCCGAUACUGGCGGGCUUGAAUCCGGGAGAGGGAUGUGGAAUUCCAGGUGUAGCGGUGAAAUGCGUAGAUAUCUGGAGGAACACCGGUGGCGAAGGUGGCAUCCUGGACCGGUAUUGACGCUGAGGCGCGAAAGCUAGGGGAGCAAACGGG
rnacentral:rRNA from 1 species